AACGCUAGCUACAGGCUAACACAUGCAAGUCGAGGGGAAACGGCAUUUAGUGCUUGCACCGAAUGGACGUCGACCGGCGCACGGGUGAGUAACGCGUAUCCAACCUACCCAUUACUGUGGGAUAACCUGCCGAAAGGCAGACUAAUACCGCAUGGUCUUCGAUGACGGCAUCAGAUUUGAAGUAAAGAUUUAUCGGUAAUGGAUGGGGAUGCGUCUGAUUAGCUUGUUGGCGGGGUAACGGCCCACCAAGGCAACGAUCAGUAGGGGUUCUGAGAGGAAGGUCCCCCACAUUGGAACUGAGACACGGUCCAAACUCCUACGGGAGGCAGCAGUGAGGAAUAUUGGUCAAUGGACGAGAGUCUGAACCAGCCAAGUAGCGUGCAGGAUGACGGCCCUAUGGGUUGUAAACUGCUUUUGUAUGGGGAUAAAGUCAAUCACGUGUGAUUGUUUGCAGGUACCAUACGAAUAAGGACCGGCUAAUUCCGUGCCAGCAGCCGCGGUAAUACGGAAGGUCCGGGCGUUAUCCGUAUUUAUUGGGUUUAAAGGGAGCGUAGGCUGGAGAUUAAGUGUGUUGUGAAAUGUAGACGCUCAACGUCUGAAUUGCAGCGCAUACUGGUUUCCUUGAGUACGCACAACGUUGGCGGAAUUCGUCGUGUAGCGGUGAAAUGCUUAGAUAUGACGAAGAACUCCGAUUGCGAAGGCAGCUGACGGGAGCGCAACUGACGCUUAAGCUCGAAGGUGCGGGUAUCGAACAGGAUUAGAUACCCUGGUAGUCCGCACAGUAAACGAUGGAUGCCCGCUGUUGGUACCUGGUAUCAGCGGCUAAGCGAAAGCAUUAAGCAUCCCACCUGGGGAUACGCCGGCAA
rnacentral:rRNA from 1 species